rnacentral:rRNA from 2 species
CUCAGGACGAACGCUGGCGGCGCGCCUAACACAUGCAAGUCGAACGGAGUCAAGAGGAGCUUGCUUUUCUUGACUUAGUGGCGAACGGGUGAGUAACGCGUGAGUAACCUGCCCUGGAGUGGGAGACAACAGUUGGAAACGACUGCUAAUACCGCAUAAGCCCACGGCCCGGCAUCGGGCUGCGGGAAAAGGAUUUAUUCGCUUCAGGAUGGACUCGCGUCCAAUUAGCUAGUUGGUGAGGUAACGGCCCACCAAGGCGACGAUUGGUAGCCGGACUGAGAGGUUGAACGGCCACAUUGGGACUGAGACACGGCCCAGACUCCUACGGGAGGCAGCAGUGGGGGAUAUUGCACAAUGGGGGAAACCCUGAUACAGCGACGCCGCGUGGAGGAAGAAGGUUUUCGGAUUGUAAACUCCUGUCGUUAGGGACGAUAAUGACGGUACCUAACAAGAAAGCACCGGCUAACUACGUGCCAGCAGCCGCGGUAAAACGUAGGGUGCAAGCGUUGUCCGGAAUUACUGGGUGUAAAGGGAGCGCAGGCGGACCGGCAAGUUGGAAGUGAAAACUAUGGGCUCAACCCAUAAAUUGCUUUCAAAACUGCUGGCCUUGAGUAGUGCAGAGGUAGGUGGAAUUCCCGGUGUAGCGGUGGAAUGCGUAGAUAUCGGGAGGAACACCAGUGGCGAAGGCGACCUACUGGGCACCAACUGACGCUGAGGCUCGAAAGCAUGGGUAGCAAACAGGAUUAGAUACCCUGGUAGUCCAUGCCGUAAACGAUGAUUACUAGGUGUUGGAGGAUUGACCCCUUCAGUGCCGCAGUUAACACAAUAAGUAAUCCACCUGGGGAGUACGACCGCAAGGUUGCAACUCAAAGGAAUUGACGGA